CCUACGGGAGGCUGCAGUGGGGAAUAUUGGACAAUGGGCGAAAGCCUGAUCCAGCCAUGCCGCGUGUGUGAAGAAGGCCUUCGGGUGGUAAAGCACUUUCAGUGGGGAAGAAAGCCUUGGGGCUAAUACCCUCGAGGAAGGACAUCACCCACAGAAGAAGCACCGGCUAACUCCGUGCCAGCAGCCGCGGUAAUACGGAGGGUGCGAGCGUUAAUCGGAAUUACUGGGCGUAAAGCGGGCGUAGGCGGUCUGAUAAGCCGGUUGUGAAAGCCCCGGGCUCAACCUGGGAACGGCAUCCGGAACUGUCAGGCUAGAGUGCAGGAGAGGAAGGUAGAAUUCCCGGUGUAGCGGUGAAAUGCGUAGAGAUCGGGAGGAAUACCAGUGGCGAAGGCGGCCUUCUGGACUGACACUGACGCUGAGGUGCGAAAGCGUGGGUAGCAAACAGGAUUAGAUACCCCUGUAGUC
rnacentral:rRNA from 1 species